GCUGUUAAUGUGACUUCAUUAGAAUGACACUAGAUGCCGCUCUGUUUUUGUAGAUACAGAGACAGGCGAGCGAAGAAGUCUUGGGGUCCUGUUUCAUGUGUUUCUGGGAUACUGGCGGACUGACUGUGCUCUGAAUGUCAUGGCGAUCAACUGUCCCGAGGUUUCGUAACUGAUACGAAUCAAGAAGUCCACAACACAAAGUGAAAAUUGGGUUAACGCAUUUCGUGUCCGAUUUACAGAGCAAAGACUACAGAAAUAAUCACAAAAAUUAAGACUGGGAUUCAGUUAAAUCAGUUUUUGAAAUGGAGUGUGCUGUAAACACCGGUCCUGAUGAUGAGCCAUCUGAUACUGCUGUUCCGUAUGAAGCCAUUACUGUAAAGGAUGGGAGUGAGACCCCAAAAAAGAAAAACAAGAAACAUAAGAAACACAAAAGUAAGAAGAAACGUAAGAAGCGCAAGGGUGAAAAGGAGAGUAGCUCUGAAUCUGGAGUAGAGUCAGAUGGUGAUUCCCAAACAAGAACGAGUGUGAAAAAAGAUGGCUCAUCUAACCCUGAGGCUGAUGAUCAUGCGAAUGCCACAAAAAAUUGCACAGAAGACCUUAGUGAUGUGGAAGCUGAUGCCAAAGUUAAAAAACAGAAACAUCGUGUUGGGAAAAAGAAGAAAAAAAGAAGACGGAAAGAGGAGGAAAAGCAGGAGGUCCUAAAAAAGUCCUCAUCUCGCUCAAGAUCGGCAAGUACCUCAGCGUCAGGGUCAGAAUCAGAACCAGACUCCAAACAAUCACAAAAAUUGCAGGUGGCAUCUUUAAAGUUGGACAGGAAGUCACCUAUCACUGCAGCUACAUUUCCAAAAGACAAAUUUAAAGAUAGCACACCCCAAUUGGAAGAUGAAAUGACUUCUGAUCACACUGAAGAAGUAAGUUUAAAAUUAGAAGGGAUAAGAAAGAUGUCUCCUGAGACUGCACAUGCACUAAUUGCAGAGAGGGACAUAAAAGUGGAAGCUGUUGGUGAACAUGAAAGUUUUGGUAAAGUGCAAGAACUUCCUGAUAUUAUUCCUAAGCAAGAGAAUGUGCACAAAGAGCAAGCUGUGCAGAAGGACAUCUCAAAGGAAGCAAAUGGGAAUCAGAAAGAAAAGAAAAAACAGUCCCUCUCCAGGUCAAGGUCACGAUCGCUUUCAGACACUAAAGGGAAAAAAUCUAAACACAGUCGCUCUAGAACUCCAAAGCAGUCAUCUGGUAAAUCAGGACGUCAUAAUGACAGAUCAUCUUCAAGGGACAGGUCUGUGUCUGCCUCUGGUGGGAAGGAUCGAAUAAAAAUAAGCUCCAGGUCUCCAUCAAAAUGGUCACCGUCUAAAGUAACAAAGAAAACUGGACGCAGGUCAAGGUCGCUCUCUGGAAGAAGAGCAUAUCGCUCCGACUCAAGGUCCCGCACAAGGACCAAAAAAUCGAGGACUAGGUCUCCACGACGUGGUCAUCGCUCAAGAUCUAGGUCAACUGGAAGACCAAGACGUUCACACUCAAGAUCAAAACAAUCUGUUUCUCGGCGGAAGAAUCGGCGCUCAAGAUCACGGUCCAGAUCUGUACGGAGAGGAAGACACUCAAGGUCCCACUCUCGAAAGAGGACGCCUGUUUCUCGGGCAAGGCGGUCCAGGUCUAGAUCUGUCAAAAGAGCAAGGCGAACACGCUCAAGAUCCGUUGUGAUUCUUAGGCGAUCUAGAUCAAGAAGAAACAGAAGAUCUAGAUCAAGAUCCGCUCGUAGAAGAUCAGGUUCAGGAAGCCCAAGACGUCAAAGUAAGUCUCGGUCCCCUCAACGCUCCAGGCCCUCUGAGUCACGUUCUCCUGCAGCCCGUCAAAGGAGGUCAAAAUCUAGGAGCCCUCAUAGCACAAAGUCAGAGUCAGUAUCUCCUCAACGACGUAAAAGAUCAAAGUCACGGACAUCUUCACAUAAUUCAAAGUCUGAAUCCCCAAAAUUAAGAAGAAUUAAAAAGCAAAAAAGUAAACGGUCACGGUCAGUUUCUCAGAGACGCACAUCAAGAUCAAGAUCUAUUUCCAGGGAGCGACAGUCAUCAGAUAGAAGUAUAUCCCCUACCAAGAAAGCACACUCUAAAUCUCAGACUAAAGAGGAAAAGUCCUUAAAGGAUAAGAGUUCAAAAGAAACCUCGGAGACUAAACAGCAAAUUGUGGAUGUUGUGGAGGAAAAUUUAGAAGUUAAAGGGACAGCAGAGUCAAGUCAAUGGAAACCAGUGUCUACUGAAUGUACAUCUGUGCAAAAUCCAUCAAAUGAAGACAUAACAUCAUCAGAAUGUGACACACAAAGUAAAAAAAUCAAGGAAGAGUCUGAAAAUCCCUCUGAAUGUGAAGGAAGACCAAACCGAUCCAGAUCUUUGUCCUCAGAGCCAGUUCGUCUACAUGGUACUGCAAGAUCAGAUGAAGAUGAUCGAUCAGGGGGCUCACGAUCACCUACACCAAGUAAAGUAAAAGAAUCAAAGUCCUCCAACAAAACGUCACCUGUUCGAAGAAAGCGCUCCAGAUCAAUUUCGUCCACACAGAAAAGGCGAUCCAAGUCGAAAUCUGUCAGUAGCAAGAGGAGGUCAAGGUCUCCCAUUAGAAAACGCAAGUCCAGGUCUCCCUCACAUAGUCGUAAAAGGAGGACGAAAUCUCGGUCACCUGUUCGGAAAAGAAGAUCAAGAUCAACCAAUCGAAGGGCAAAAUCUAGAUCGAAAUCUCACACAAGAACAAAGUGCUCAAAAUCGAAAUCCCCCAAGCGGAAACGGUCAAAGUCAAGAUCGCCAGCUCGAAAAAGGAGGUCCAAGUCACGUUCCCCUGCUAGAAAGAGAAGAUCUCGUUCACGGUCAAGGGCUCGUCAGUCACGAUCCAGAAGAUCACGCUCUGUUUCACGUCGUCGGAGACCAGCAUUUCGUGGGCGAUCUUUUGAUAGACGAGAUCGAUGGAAACGUGAACCAAGCCACUCACCAAUUUUGAUUCUCCGUAAGAGGAGGUCCACCUCAAGACGCAGUUGUAGCAAGACGCCACCACGUCUUACUGACCUAGAUAAAGAUCAACUGUUGGAGAUUGCGAAGGCUAAUGCUGCUGCAAUGUGUGCUAAAGCUGGAAUGCCCAUACCUGAAAGUCUCAAGCCGAAGGCAAUUCUACAGUUACCUCUGCCAACCCCAGUUCCAGCCCCCUUGUCUUUGCCUCUGCCAUUGCCUGUGCCCAAUUUACCUAUGAAUCUGCCCAUGGGUAUACCAGGUAUGCCUGCAAUGCCAAACAUGACAAUGAACGCUGCCAUGGCAAGUAUGACUGCGGCGACAAUGACUGCUGCUCUCUCAAACAUGGGUGCCCUGGCCUCUAUGCCUCCAAUGCCCCCACUUCCUACCAUUAUCAACAAGCCCCCUUCAGCACCCACACCUAAUCUGGCCAGUAUUGAGGAGGUGAAGAGGAAAGUGGCUCAACAAGCUAACAGCAUUAGCAUCAAGGAGUUUACAGAGAAAUGUAAACAGAUUGCAGAGAGUAAGGAGGAGAUGAGUAUUGCACGGCCACAUGUUUCAGAUGAUGAUGAUGAGACACGGUAACCCACUGUCAUUCUGCUGCAUCUCAUAUAUAGUCCUGAUGAUGGACACCUGUGGCUCGCAUUUGUGAUAAAGGAUGAUCUCCGUCAUGUAAAUUAAGCUUUUGUUUGCUCACAGAAGGACAUUUGAGCAUCUGGACAAUUGAAGCUACAUUGAUUUCAGUUAUCUUUAAAUUGUCAGUUGUUGGAACAGCUGCAAGCUACAGGAAUCUUUUUUUUUUUUUACCAUAGACUAAAAACUACCAGAGUAAACCAUUCAGUAUGUCUAAAAGUGGAACUAAGGAGGUAAAGUGUAAAACAGACAUACUAUCUGCCCAGACUGACAGUGAAACGUUUCGCUUUCAGGCUUGUUUUUACCUUUACUACAUAUGGUGCUUCUUGAUACCAUGAAGAAGGACCUCUGGUAGAUUUAACUCAGUUAUAGGUGUACCUAAAAGAAGAAACAGAUUUUGGGGUGCAGUUUAGAUCACAAGUCAGGUCUGUUGGUACACACUUUCAGAGCUUUCUGUUAAAGUGUUAGUUCACCCAAAAAUUUAAAUUGUCAUUAAUUAAUUACUCACUCUCAUGUCAUUCCAAACCCAUAAGACCUUCGUUCAUCUUCGGAAUGCAAAUUAAGAUAUUUUUGAUGGAAUCUUGAGAGCUGUCUGACCCAGCAUAGACAGCAACGCAACUGAAAUGUUCCCAAGUCCAGAAACGUAGCAAGGAGAUAGGUAAAAUAAUCCAUGUGACAUCAGUGGUUCAACCUCAAUUAUACAAAGCUACGAGAAUACUUUUUGUGCGCAAAAAAAUAAAAAAAUAACUUCUUUAUUCAACAAUUCAUCUCCUCCGCAUCACCCUGUAGCGCCAUUUUUGAGAGUAUCUGCAUUAAGAUAUUUUUGAUGGAAUCUUGAGAGCUGUCUGACCCAGCAUAGACAGCAACGCAACUGAAAUGUUCCCAAGUCCAGAAACGUAGCAAGGAGAUAGGUAAAAUAAUCCAUGUGACAUCAGUGGUUCAACCUCAAUUAUACAAAGCUACGAGAAUACUUUUUGUGCGCAAAAAAAUAAAAAAAUAACUUCUUUAUUCAACAAUUCAUCUCCUCCGCAUCACCCUGUAGCGCCAUUUUGGAGAGUAUCUGCUGGACGUAAACAACGUAUGCUGUUCUGUGUCAGCUGCGUCACACGGAUAUGCUGUUUUCGUUCAGAUCAAAUCACAACAACGUAGGAAACAGGAUCCGGCGUGACGCAGCUGACACAGAACAGCAUACGCUGUUUACGUCCAGCUGAUACUCUCCAAAAUGUCGCUACAGGGUGAUGCGGAGGAGACGAAUUGUUGAAUAAAGUCGUUUUUUCUUUUCUUUUGCGCACAAAAAGUUUUCUCGUAGCUUCGUAUAAUUGCGGUUGAACCACUGAUGUCAAAUGGAUUAUUUUACCGAUGUCCUUGCUACAUUUCUGGACUUGGGAACAUUUCAGUUGCGUUGCUGUCUAUGCAGGGUCAGACAGCUCUCAAGAUUCCAUCAAAAAUAUCUUAAUUUGUGUUCCGAAGAUGAACGAAGGUCGUACGGGUUUGAAACGGCAUGAGGGUGAGUGAAUAUUGACAGAAUUUUCAUUUUUGGUUGAACUAACCCUUUAACAUACAGAGACAUGAUUAUUUUAGGAGUAUUUUUUUUUUCCCCGUCUUUUAAAAUUCAUGAAGUGUUAAUCACUUGUUUAAAUACAUUGGUGAAGAGAAUUGUGUUUUUUCCUUAACACUUUUGUGAACUUUUAAAGCAAAUUAAAUGUUGAGGUUCAGAGUUGUGGCUGUACUUGACUGCUAUACUUAACAGAUGUUGUUUGCAUUGAUGUGCAUUGUAAGGGUUCUGACCACAGACUUUUUUAGUUACAUCGGUUAAACCUUGCUGUGCUGCUUGCCGGUAACUGACAUUGUGGUCUGUCUUUAUCUAAAAAAUAUCACAGAUACUCAUUGAUGAAAUUAAGUUUUUUUUUCUCAUUUUUUAGUCGAUCAUAUAGUGCAUCCUUGUAAAUGACAGACCAUGAUGCGGUUGUGUGGUAUACAAUGCUGUUUUAUCUUUGUGACUGAAAUAUUUGACCCAGCAUAGCUGCAGGGUGGGAUGCUGUAUUUUCAGGAGUGAGAACGUCACCCAUCACUAUUCUAGAUAAGGGGUGAUUAAAAUGCAUAUGAUUUGCAUAAGAUUAUUGUUUAGACACAUGUACUGUAUAUUGUGUAGGUGUGCAUUUUUUUCAGUUUUGUUUUUUUCCUCUCCCCUCCACUGUGUUCUAUGGUGGAGACCCCUUUACCAAUUGAACUAAAAAGAAAUAUGAUGAUGGCACAGCUCCUACUAAUUCACUUAAAAAAAUAUUUAACUAAAGAUUAAUGGUUAAAGAGUAUGUUCAACAUGAUGGGAUGUUCCGUGCUACAUUAGCUUUAGAUUUGGCACUGUAUUGUCCACAUUUAAGAAAUGAUACCAACUUCUGUCCAGAACUGCUUUACACUUUAUUAAAUUAAUAUUAACAACAGAUUUCAAACUGGAAAUGUAAAGCAUUGUGAAUUAUAGUUUUUAAUUUUGCCAUUAUUGUUCAUUUUAAGGGACAGUUCGGCCAAAAAUGAAAAUUGUCAUUUACGCACCCUCAUGUUGUUCCAAACCUGUAUGACUUACUUUCUGCAGAACACAAAAUAAGAUUUUGAAGGUUUGGAUAAACAUGAGGGUGAGUAAAUGAUGAUAGAAUGUUAAUUUCUGAACUAUCUCUUUAAUUAGAAAACUCGCAUUAUGAAAUGAGUUUGGCCAUGUUGAAGUCUCCUUAAGGAUAGUAUAAAAAAGUUCUUCUACAUCUAAGGUACAAACCCACAUUACUUGCAUAAAAUGUGAAACAUCCUCAGUUUUGACAGCAUUUUUAUCCUUUCCAUCACAUUGUGAAAUAUAAUGGCACACACUUUGUAUAUAAUGCAACUUCAAAUAUUAAAGGAAACAAUCUACAUGACUUUUGAAAAUGUGUUUUCUUUAAUAACCAGUUAUAUUGGAAAAAGGUUUGUCACUUAUUAAAUCUAUAGAAAUAUCAUUGUGUCUGAUUUAAUCUGAUUUCAUUUAAGCCUUACAGUACAAUUGACCUCAUUUCAGUUUGUUCUCUUUAUGAUGUCAAAGAAAGUAUGUACCAGUGAUUAACG
ensembl:lncRNA serine/arginine repetitive matrix protein 2-like